rnacentral:rRNA from 1 species
UUAAAUGGCCGCGAUAUUUUGAUCGUGCUAAGGUAGCAUAAUCAUUAGUUUUUUAAUUGAAAGCUAGAAUGAAGGGUUGGAUGAGAAAAUAUCUGUCUAAGUAAAAUUUUUUAAAACUUUAUUUUUAAGUUAAAAAGCUUAAAUUUUUUUAAAAGACGAGAAGACCCUAUAGAGUUUUAUAAAUUAAUAAAUUUUUUUUUUUAGUAUUAAGUUUUGAAUUUUUUAAAAUUUAUUUGAUUGGGGUGAUUAAAAAAUUUAGUUAACUUUUUUAUAUAAAAAUAUUAAUAAAUAGAUUUUUGAUCCAWUAGUUUUGAUUAAAGAUUAAAUUACCUUAGGGAUAACAGCGUAAUUUUAUUAGAGAGUU